rnacentral:rRNA from 1 species
UCCUACGGGAGGCAGCAGCGAGGAAUAUUGGUCAAUGGACGGAAGUCUGAACCAGCCAAGUAGCGUGCAGGAUGACGGCCCUAUGGGUUGUAAACUGCUUUUAUGCGGGGAUAAAGUUAGUCACGUGUGACUAUUUGCAGGUACCGCAUGAAUAAGGACCGGCUAAUUCCGUGCCAGCAGCCGCGGUAAUACGGAAGGUCCGGGCGUUAUCCGGAUUUAUUGGGUUUAAAGGGAGCGUAGGCCGUGGAUUAAGCGUGUUGUGAAAUGUAGACGCUCAACGUCUGACUUGCAGCGCGAACUGGUUCACUUGAGUGUGCGCAACGCAGGCGGAAUUCGUGGUGUAGCGGUGAAAUGCUUAGAUAUCACGAAGAACUCCGAUUGCGAAGGCAGCUUGCGGGAGCACAACUGACGCUGAAGCUCGAAAGUGCGGGUAUCAAACAGGAUUAGAUACCCUGGUAGUCCGCACGGUAAACGAUGGAUGCCCGUUCUUCGUUCUUUUGAAUGAGGGACCAAGCGAAAGCAUUAAGCAUCCCACCUGGGGAGUACGCCGGCAACGGUGAAACUCAAAUGAAUUGACGGA